GUUAAAAAUGCACAACAAAUUCAAAAGAGACCAUAACUUGGUCGUCACAUUGUCUGCUGCUUGGUCGUGAGAGAAUUGAUGUUGGGUCUCAAGGCAGCCUCGGUUUGGCGGAGGUGGACGGAAGGAACUAUUAUAUAGAUGAAAUAGAACUGAAGCACUUUUGAAUGCCUGCCAAGAUUGAAAAUCUUUCGGAAUCGGCGAACAGAUUUCGCGACAAAAUCUCGCAUCUCUCCUCGCCGCCAGUGUGUUGGCAUCCGAGUUUGUGGCAGAUCUAAAACGAAUCGUUUAAUUGCCUCUAACACCGAUGUGCCGCGAUAAUGCAAUGAUAGAUUAAAUUGUUUACGUUUUUCAUAA
rnacentral:sRNA from 1 species